AGAAAACAUGUGAGAAUCGAAGGACGAGGAGUCAGAACCAGGGGACUGGGAAAGUGAAGGUGAAAAAGCAGAGAAAGCUGACUGCACAGCGCUUCCUGACCUUGCAGGACGAGACCAAACAAAACCCCAUUGAGAUCUGUUUCUGGGGGGACCAGGUGAGCUGCGCUGCAAUGGUUGGGAUUGGAGACACUAUCAAGGUGAACAAUGUGUACUCCAGUGAGUAUGAAGACAGUAUUCCUCUCAACACAACAAAAGAAACCAUGGUUGAUAUGAUCCAGGCUGCUAAAUCGGAGACUGUAAUGUUGUCCAUUCAAUCAAUUGUGUGCAAUGACGAGGUGACCCUGGAGGCAGAGAGGAUGGAGGAUGGAACACUAAACACAUUCAUUGUGGCAUUAGAGCUCCUGGCAAAGACCGAUGGGAUUAAACAUGAUGAAAGUGUUGAGAAGAUACUUGUUGAUAUGUUACCACUCUCUGUGGAGGCAGAAAUACAAGGGAAUAAGAUUACAGCUCUAAAAAAAGAUGAAAGUCCAACCUGAAUUAUAAAAUGUUUC
rnacentral:lncRNA from 1 species